rnacentral:rRNA from 1 species
AGUGAACGCUGGCGGCAGGCCUAAUACAUGCAAGUCGAACGGCAGCACAGCAGAGCUUGCUCUGUGGGUGGCGAGUGGCGGACGGGUGAGGAAUACGUGGGAAUCUGCCCAGUCGUGGGGGAUAACGUAGGGAAACUUACGCUAAUACCGCAUGCGCCCUUCGGGGAAAGCCGGGGACCUUCGGGCCUGGCGCGAUUGGAUGAGCCCACGUCGGAUUAGCUAGUUGGCGGGGUAAAGGCCCACCAAGGCGACGAUCCGUAGCUGGUCUGAGAGGAUGAUCAGCCACACUGGAACUGAGACACGGUCCAGACUCCUACGGGAGGCAGCAGUAGGGAAUAUUGGACAAUGGGCGCAAGCCUGAUCCAGCCAUGCCGCGUGAGUGAAGAAGGCCCUCGGGUUGUAAAGCUCUUUGUCCGGAAAGAAAGCGCCGGGUUAAUACCCUGGUGUCCUGACGGUACGGAAGAAUAAGCACCGGCUAACUUCGU